rnacentral:snRNA from 1 species
AUGCUUUGGCAUUAGAUAUACAAAAAUUGGAAGGAUACAGAGAAGAUUAGCAUGGCCCUGUGCAAGGAUGACAUGCAAAUUCAUGAAGUGUUCCAUAUUUUU